ACGUACGCGCGCACUGUACGCGGAACGUUCCUCCGAGCGCGUGCUGCUGGCGCCGUGAGCACAUGGAGAAGGGCUCAAGGUGGAGAAGGGUGGAAAAGUACGUCGUUUCUCUUUCCGGAGACGGUUUAUUAUUUUUCCACGCACAAAGUGGAAUAAUGUGGACAUCUCAGCUCGAGAAGAAAAGCGAACCGAGGGAAGGGCUCCGUACCACUGGGACUGCAUUGAACAGUUGCGGAUGGAUCGAUGGAUCAAUGGAUCGAUGGCUUCAUUAACACUAAGGAUGAUUCGCACUUUACUGUUUGCUGCUCGAAGUCCAACUUCCUCCCGACACCUCGCCGCGGCCUGCGGUGUCUGUCCACGGUGCC